rnacentral:rRNA from 1 species
ACGAACGCUGGCGGCGUGCUUAACACAUGCAAGUCGAACGGUGAAGCGCCUUCCUUUUUGGUGGGUGUGGAUGAGUGGCGAACGGGUGAGUAACACGUGAGUAACCUGCCCCCUUCUUCUGGAUAACCGCAUGAAAGUGUGGCUAAUACGGGAUAUUCUGGGUCUGUCGCAUGAUGGGUCUGGGAAAGAUAUUGUUUCGGUGGGGGAUGGGCUCGCGGCCUAUCAGCUUGUUGGUGGGGUGAUGGCCUACCAAGGCGGUGACGGGUAGCCGGCCUGAGAGGGUGGACGGUCACACUGGGACUGAGACACGGCCCAGACUCCUACGGGAGGCAGCAGUGGGGAAUAUCGCACAAUGGGCGCAAGCCUGAUGCAGCGACGCCGCGUGAGGGAUGGAGGCCUUCGGGUUGUGAACCUCUUUCGCCAGUGAAGCAGGCCUGCCUCGUUUGUGGGUGGGUUGACGGUAGCUGGAUAAGAAGCGCCGGCUAACUACGUG